GUUGCCGCCCUUCGUUCCCCACCCACAAAAUCCCUAGCUUUCCUGUUGUUCCCCACGCAUGCCGCCGCCCCACGCCGGCCAAUCCCCAUGCCUCCCACCGCCGCCCCAUGUCGUCGGGGGCUACCGCCGGUCUAUCCCACUGUCGCCCCAUGCCGCCCUGCCUCUGCAUCACCAUCCCACGCCGCCCUUCCUCUGUAGCACCGCCCCACACGAUGCCCCGUCCCCACAGCCCCGCCCAAUUCCGACAUGCCUCUCCACCGUCGGCUCCACACCCUCGGGCUCUCUCUCCGUUUAACCGCCUCUCUCCAACCUCCCUGGCCCAACCCCCCAUCUCCAUCGUCCAGCUCAUGAAGACACACGCAGUGGCGGUGGCGGCGAAGAUUUGGAUCUGGGCCGCGUGUGGCUGGGCAAGGACAUCCCUCUCUGUCUUUGGCUGGGCAAGGGCAUCGAUGCGGCUGAGGUAGAACAGAGGACAGAUGCUGGUAACGCUGAGCUGACAAAGAGAAGUAGCAGAAUAUUUGCUAUGCCACUGUAGUGCAUAAGAGCAUGGGGAGCUUUUAUCGUUCUUGGAUUUCAUAAAAUAAAAGAGAUGACAGAAAUGGGGUGGGAGGUAUGUGGAAACAGAGCUUCUUACUUGUGGCAGUAGACGACUAGGCAGUUCAUGCAGGCUCUGGAAACAUUACUUGAUGUCUCUGUACUCUGGUAUGGGAUGGUGCACUUUUAAUGAUGAAAAGAAUGGCACGCACUCCAAAUAUAUUCCUAGAAAGUGGAUUAACUGAAGAAGAAUCUACUACAGAAGUAAGAUCUGGUUACAAUCAAUCUGAAAGGCAAAAUGAAUUCUGUGUGUGGGGAACAACAUAGCAGGUGAAUCUUAUCUGAACAGGGACGUCUUCCUCAUCCCGCCACUUAGGAAAGACAUAAAAGACCAGGAAGGAACUAUGGAGAUAGUUUGCGUCAACUAGAUAGUUUGUGUAAGGUGCAAAAUAAUGCACCGUUUGGCUAUCAUUUUGUAAGCCUUUAUGUUGUAUUGUCAACUGGAUAUUUUGUACAAAAUCAAUGACAUGCAUCUAUUAUUGUA